rnacentral:rRNA from 1 species
AGUCAGCUCGUGUUGUGAAACUUGCGUUAAAUUCCCGCAAAGAGCGCAACCCUUAUCCUUUUUUUGCCAGCGAUUAGGUCGGGAACUCAAAGGAGACUGCCGGUGAUAAACCGGAGGAAGGUGGGGAUGAUGUCAAGUCAUCAUGGCCCUUACGAGUAGGGCUACACACGUGCUACAAUGGCGUAUACAAAGAGAAGGGACCUCGCGAGAGCAAGCGGAACUCAUAAAGUUCGUCGUAGUCCGGAUUGGAGUCUGCAACUCGACUCCAUGAAGUCGGAAUCGCUAGUAAUCGUUGAUCAGAAUGUAACGGUGAAUAUGUUCCCGGGCCUUGUACACCCCGCCCGUCACACCAUGGGAGUGGGUCGCAAAAGAAAGUAGGUAGCGUUACACCAUUUUGGG